GUGAAGAGGCCCUAUCCGUUCUCUCCAGAAUACCUGCCUGUCCCUUUUUUUCAAUGCAAAAAGUGUUGUGUUUCCCCUGUAUCCAGAUCACACGAAUCCACUUCUAGCAGCAAUGAGUGCUCAAUCAAUGUAGAAGAGGGAAAUGUGUUUAAAAGAGAAGUUGUGUCAAAGUCGAGAGCUUUGUCAGAGUCUGAACCAUCGAUUUCACUAAGAGAAACUAAAGCUCUCAAUGGAGAUUUUCUCAGAUUAGCUCCUCCAGCAGCAGCUUUGCCACAUUUAGGAGCAGUAAAUCGGCGUUCUUUAACUGAUUCAGCCCCACAAUGCCUUCAGCUAUUCGACUAUGUUCCCUCUCGGGUUGCUGCUGCAGAGUAUACCCCGCCUUCAGGACUAAGCAUAUCAGUUCAACAACCCAUCCUCGGAUUCUUCCCAUCUGCAAAGGCGCAGAUAGGUCAAGAAGGAACUCGUGGAAGUGACUUUCAUACUGAAGUAGGAGGAAAUGUUGAUUUGGAACUGAAGCUAUAGAAGUUAGUCCAUGCCAUAUUUUUGUGAUGUCCUGGUGCGUAUGGCUCGCAUUAGAGGUGUGUCUGUGGGGCUUUAAUUCUUUUACAUGAUAGAGAGCGUUGCUUCGAGUGAUUGUCCUACCAUUUAUUGGGAUAGUUUGUAGAUAAUUUUAUAUACUUGUUGGUGCAUGAAAAACAUUGUGAAAGGUGAAUCACAGAAGAGAGGUUUUCAUUAGA